rnacentral:rRNA from 1 species
UACGUAGGGCGCGAGCGUUGUCCGGAAUUAUUGGGCGUAAAGAGCUCGUAGGCGGCCGGUUGCGUCUGCUGUGAAAUCCCGGGGCUUAACCCCGGGCGUGCAGUGGAUACGGGCUGGCUGGAGGCAGGCAGGGGAGAAUGGAAUUCCCGGUGUAGCGGUGAAAUGCGCAGAUAUCGGGAGGAACACCGGUGGCGAAGGCGGUUCUCUGGGCCUGAGCUGACGCUGAGGAGCGAAAGCGUGGGGAGCGAACAGG